GGAAAGUGUUUUGUCGAACCGUACAAUAUUAUUACAUCAUAAGCACUCAGUGAUUGCAUAUUAUCGUCGUUGGGUAAAAAUUAUUUUCCGACAAAAUAGAAUCCCUGCAAAAUACGUUUCGACAAAAUACUUAAUAAGAGUUCACACUUUGCCAUGUAGAUAAGUUAAUGCCAAUAAGAGUUAACAUUCAGUUUCCAACGUACACUCGAACAACAUGCAUAAUGUUGUAGUUUAUGCAUAGUGUUUACUAUACUUCAUAUUAACAGUUUACUAAGUAAGUUUUACUAAAUAAGUUUCAUAAAGAAUACUGCAGUAAAAAAAAUAAUAUUGUUAAUAAUAAUAGUAGUAUCUGUACAUUGUACAGUAAUCAGAUUAAACUGAAGUUAAUAUUAUGAUGUUUU